GGGCCCGCACAAGCGGUGGAGUAUGUGGUUUAAUUCGAUGCAACGCGAAGAACCUUACCAACCCUUGACAUCCUCGGACCGCCAGAGAGAUCUGGCUUUCACUUCGGUGACCGAGUGACAGGUGCUGCAUGGCUGUCGUCAGCUCGUGUCGUGAGAUGUUCGGUUAAGUCCGGCAACGAGCGCAACCCACAUCCUUAGUUGCCAGCAGUUCGGCUGGGCACUCUAGGGAAACUGCCCGUGAUAAGCGGGAGGAAGGUGUGGAUGACGUCAAGUCCUCAUGGCCCUUACGGGUUGGGCUACACACGUGCUACAAUGGCAGUGACAAUGGGUUAAUCCCAAAAAGCUGUCUCAGUUCGGAUUGGGGUCUGCAACUCGACCCCAUGAAGUCGGAAUCGCUAGUAAUCG
rnacentral:rRNA from 1 species